AGAGAGAGAGAGAGAGAGAGAGAGAGAGAGAGAGAGAGAAACGAGCUGGCGGAGAGGAGCAGAAGGCAGGAGGGGAAAUCUGGCACAACGGCUGGGAGAGGAAACUUGAUGCUUCUGGGCCACCAUUUGCCAGGGCCUCGCUCGAGCCGGCGCCUCGGUUCCUGCCCAGCUGGAUUUGGGGGGCAGCAUUGCCUGGCGCAGGGAGAUCAAAUGAGACUGCAAAGAAGCAUAAAAUGAAUAGACAAUCCAACCAACCAAAGGAAAUUGCUUUGGAGAUGAGGAAACAAACUCUUAUGGAGACCUAAGAGACUGAAGACAUCUGGCGUGGACUACUCUGAUGGUAAAAUUGAAAGUACACCUAAAUUUGCUUUGUUACAGGAUUCUCUUCAGAGGACAAGAGAAGAUGUUACAUUCUCUGCAUGAGGACAAUUCUGCAGCAUCAAAAUCGAAUAAUAUUUGUUUUCUGGCAGCAGAAUUUUGUAUCAUAUUUCUAAAGACAGUAAGCACUUGGGUGGACGUCAAUGAAUACUAAACACUAAUUGAUCUGAUACAGCCGUAUGCACAUACACAGAUAUACAUGGUGGCUUGUAAUGGUUGAAAAAUUACGGUUUGGUUUUAUUAAAAGAUCUGUCACUUUUAGG
rnacentral:lncRNA from 10 species